GUCAUAUCCUGAAAAAUUAAACGGAUUAAUAGCCAAAAGUUAUCAGAAGAAAGAUGUUUUAGACUUAACACGACCUGGAAUAGGUCUUGGCCUAACGACUAUAUUAGGUUAGAAUUGUUUCCAUAAAGAAGAAAUGACAGGAGUAUCCAUUCGCAACGUUAUCAGUGACUUCCUUAAUGUAUUGAUCUGUUAAUACUCUUCAUAAAUUUCUUUGAGCACUGAAACUUUUAAGUGCAAAGAGUCAUUUUCACUCCAUGUUUUUCAAGAAGCGGAUAGUUAAGCACACAUAUCUAAUCUCUUCUAAUCACACAGUGAUAUGAUAAUUUUACGUCGUCACCGACAUCAUUAUUAAGUGUUACCUCAUAAAAUCUUUGGAUGCA